rnacentral:rRNA from 2 species
CCUAGGAAUCUGCCUGGUAGUGGGGGACAACGUUUCGAAAGGAACGCUAAUACCGCAUACGUCCUACGGGAGAAAGCAGGGGACCUUCGGGCCUUGCGCUAUCAGAUGAGCCUAGGUCGGAUUAGCUUGUUGGUGAGGUAAUGGCUCACCAAGGCGACGAUCCGUAACUGGUCUGAGAGGAUGAUCAGUCACACUGGAACUGAGACACGGUCCAGACUCCUACGGGAGGCAGCAGUGGGGAAUAUUGGACAAUGGGCGAAAGCCUGAUCCAGCCAUGCCGCGUGUGUGAAGAAGGUCUUCGGAUUGUAAAGCACUUUAAGUUGGGAGGAAGGGCAGUAAGUUAAUACCUUGCUGUUUUGACGUUACCGACAGAAUAAGCACCGGCUAACUCUGUGCCAGCAGCCGCGGUAAUACAGAGGGUGCAAGCGUUAAUCGGAAUUACUGGGCGUAAAGCGCGCGUAGGUGGUUUGUUAAGUUGGAUGUGAAAGCCCCGGGCUCAACCUGGGAACUGCAUCCAAAACUGGCAAGCUAGAGUACGGUAGAGGGUGGUGGAAUUUCCUGUGUAGCGGUGAAAUGCGUAGAUAUAGGAAGGAACACCAGUGGCGAAGGCGACCACCUGGACUGAUACUGACACUGAGGUGCGAAAGCGUGGGGAGCAAACAGGAUUAGAUACCCCUGGUAGUCCACGCCGUAAACGAUGUCAACUAGCCGUUGGAAUCCUUGAGAUUUUAGGGGCGCAGCUAACGCAUUAAGUUGACCGCCUGGGGAGUACGGCCGCAAGUUAAAACUCAAAUGAAUUGACGGGGGCCCGCACAAGCGG